rnacentral:rRNA from 1 species
UGUUCCUGGACCACUCCUGACUGAGGGUCGUAA